rnacentral:rRNA from 1 species
UACGAACGCUGGCGGCAGGCUCAACACAUGCAAUUUGAACGAGAUCUUCGGAUCUCGUGGCAGACGGGUGAGGAACACGUGGGAACAUCCCUUUCAGUUCGGAAUAACGCUGGGAAACUAACGCUAAUACCGGACACGUCCUUCGGGAGAAAGACUUAUUGCUGAAAGAUUGGACCGCGUCUGAUUAGCUAGUUGGUGAGGUAAUGGCUCACCAAGGCUACGAUCAGUAGCUGAUCUGAGAGGAUGAUCAGCCACAUUGGGACUGAGACACGGACCAAACUGCUACAGGAGGCAGCAGUUGGGGUAAGUGGACAAUUUGCGCAAGCCUGUCCCAGCCAUUCCGCGUGUGUGAUGCCGGCCUUCGGGUUGAAAAGCUCUUUUGUCCGAGACGAGAAUGAGUGGACGGGAAGAAUAAGCCCCGGCAACCUUCGUGCCAGCCGCCGCAGUAA